AACGUAGGGGUCGAGCGUUAUCCGGAAUUACUGGGCGUAAAGCGCGUGCAGGCGGCUGAGGAAGUCGGACGUGAAAGCUCCUGGCUCAACUGGGAGAGGCCGUUCGAAACUCCUUGGCUAGAGGACGGUAGAGGCGAGUGGAAUUCCCGGUGUAGUGGUGAAAUGCGUAGAUAUCGGGAGGAACACCAGAGGCGAAAGCGGCUCGCUGGGCCGGUUCUGACGCUGAGACGCGAAAGCUAGGGGAGAGAACGGGAUUAGAAACCCCGGUAUUCCUAGCCGUAAACGAUGUCAACUAGGUGUAGGGGGUGUAGAAGCCUUCUGCGCUGCCGCCAACGCAGUAAGUUGACCGCCUGGGGAGUACGGCCGCAAGGCUAAA
rnacentral:rRNA from 1 species